UACGGAGGGAGCUAGCGUUGUUCGGAAUUACUGGGCGUAAAGCGCGCGUAGGCGGUUUUUUAAGUCAGAGGUGAAAGCCCAGUGCUCAACACUGGAACUGCCUUUGAAACUGGAAAACUUGAAUCUUGGAGAGGUCAGUGGAAUUCCGAGUGUAGAGGUGAAAUUCGUAGAGAUCGGCAGGAACACCCAGGGGGAAACCAGUGGACUGGGCAUGUGCUGACGCUCAGGUGCGAAAGCGUGGGGAGCGAACCGG
rnacentral:rRNA from 1 species